UUCGAGCCUGGGUGAUCUAUACAUGAUCAGGAUGAAGUUUGGGUAAAACUAAGUGGAGGUUCAAACUGACUAAUGUUGAAAAAUUAGCGAAUGAGUUAUGGCUAGGGAUGAAAUGUCACUCAAACCCAGAGCUAGUUGA
rnacentral:ncRNA from 1 species